UACGAAGGGUGCAAACGUUGCUCGGAAUCAUUGGGCGUAAAGCGCCCGUAGGCGGCUUGCCAAGUCGGACGUGAAAUCCCUCAGCUCAACUGAGGACGUGCAUCCGAAACUGGCGAGCUUGAGUACUGAAGAGGAUCGCGGAAUUCCCGGUGUAGAGGUGAAAUGCGUAGAGAUUGGAAAGAACACCGAUGGCGAAGGUACUUUACUGGGCUAUUACUAACACUCAGAGACGAAAGCUAGGGUAGCAAAUGGG
rnacentral:rRNA from 1 species